GAAAAGAUCUUUUACUUAAGAGCGUAUGCAGCUGGGGGCUUUGAGCUUGUCAGGUCUGACUGCAGUAAUCAAACGCUAUUACUGGAGACUGAGCGGGCCAGAGAGGAGCUCAAAGGCAGUGGCAGAACUUCACACGCUCCUCGACUCUUUUCUCCCCGCUAUGACAAGCCGUUUACAAGACGUAGCCUCUGCCGCUGACCCAGUUCUGAGUGGCUGCGUCUAGCGACAAGGCCCUGCCUCCCCAUCAGGCCCUGCUCCUCGUCUAACUGACGAUAACACCGCCACCCUCUGCCUCGAUGGUGCUAGGAGUUCUACUGAGCAUGAUCGAGGGAGACAGUAUAAGCGAGAGGAAGACAAAGAAAGAACGGGAGUUUAAAAGGCAAGCUCGCAGAUCUGGUGGCCUUUGGAAUGAAGAGCUGCGACGCGAGCCUUUAUCAGCUGGCCUGCUGUAUGUUUGGAGCAAUCCUUCCCACGCCUUAAUACAACAACUGCCGCUGAGGUUAAACACCCAUCUAACCACUUCUUCUAGGUAGCCCUUAUCUCGUCAGCUACUCCGAAUAGCGAAAGUGAUCUGCCUUUUUUUUUUAAAGAAAAAAAACAUCAUGGACAUGGCUGUCAUUUAACACCCAUGAAAAUACCACAUGUCAUCUCAGGGGGGGGAAAUGAUGAGCUUCUUGGCUAGAGGAGAUAUUAUGUGCCUGAUGCCUGGUAGCACAACACUGCCUGCCUGCCUGCCUGCCGCUGUGUGGGUUUGUUCAGGUCAUGAUAUAUUUGUGAUCAUGCACAGCUCUCUCAUGCAAACCCUACACACAUUAAGCUUGCAUUGCUUUUGUAAUCCUUCUAUACAUUGGCACGGAUGGAUCUCUUGGACUGGCACGUUGGACAGCUUUCAAAUAGGAAUACUACUGUCAGGCUAUAAUCGGGCAAAAUUCUCUCUUGAAGCCUUAUUAAUCAACACACACCUUUGACUGCUCUUUUAAAAUAUUAACGAGGCAGGCAAAAAUCAUCAUUCGAUGGGGCCUUAGUGUCACCUAGCAACCAUUCUUUCGCUAUUGUUAAGGAGCUAUAAUUGUACAGGGGUGACAUUUAAUUAUCCUCUUUGCUUUCUAAAAGAGACACAUUGAACAAUCGAGGUCUGCGAUGCAAAAUGUACAAGCAAGCAAGCAAGGGCUCUUGUUCAAGGGAAGUCGAGUCAAACAAAACCUCGACCGUCAUUUGCUCAUGUGGUGUUCUCGUGAAGAGCUUUAUUCAAGGCGGAGGUUGACCCUACCAAUUGAGACCCCAAAAGCCGAUGUAAACAACAAAGAUGGCUGAAUUGGUGACUCAAACACAUUUUGACCUCCAGGAAACCUUCCUUUAUAAUGUGAUGUAUGGAUAAACAUAAAUCUUAUUGCAUAGGCAUUCUUGUUUUUCAUUUGAUUGAUUGAACAGCACACGAAAUGUCAAACGUUGAGAAGAAAAAAAGAAGAAUGAAAAGAUGUCAAAGCAGUUCACGUGUAUUAUUUGUCAAUAUUUUUUGGACCUGACUUGAAAUUAGCGUACUCAUCACUGUUUACAUCCUUCAGCACACAAUUACAGCAUUAGGAAUAUUAGCCUGCGCUAACAGGUUGCCUGCAUAGGUCCUUUUUAUUCCAGCAGAUGCUUGUUUUGCACAUGUACUGAUUUGCAUUGACAUGCUGCUGCUUUAAAACCCGGAGGAGGGUUGACCUGCCACUAAAACCUCACCAGCCCAGUAUUAAGCUCAUGCGUGCUAAUGGUGACCCGGCCGCUGCACACAGACCAUGUUGUUGCCUCGAAAACAAGUGAUGGAGCACGGCGUUCUACUUUUCAAUUCUGGCCAGACCCGCUGACGAGCGUUGCUGUAUUAUACUUUGUGCAAAAAAAAAAGACCUGACAGCCAUAAUGACAUUAUAUAUAAAAAUAAAUAAUAGAAACGGU